UUAAUAUAGUUUUAUUUACCUAGGAAGCAGUAGAUCUAAUAUUCUCAAAAAGUUUUUCUAAUGUCGUCUUUAAACAUCUAUCUUUGGCCUUCACACAAGGAGUUAAAUCCACGGACAUUAAACAGUUUCAACUUAUUUCUACUGGAGAUGAAAUUAAGCUAAGUGGUCGUCUGUAUAGAGAUAGACAAGGACUAAUGUCAAGAAAAGUUAAUCUGAAUAUUUCAGGUAAUAUUUGCUUUUUUAAUGGGAAUUUAGAAUAGAA